CGUCAGGGACUAUGGACUGAGGACUUACGAACCCCGCCAGGGCAGGAAUGCAGCAACGGUAGUUUGAUCUUUUUUGCCGUAGCUCUCUGGCGGAC
rnacentral:SRP_RNA from 1 species